AGCUGGCCUCUUGAAGACCCAGAUGUUGCAGUAGGAUUUAAUGCAUCACAACUACUGUUGCCCUCUUAACAUUGUUGCCUGCUAGUGCUGAGCUAUCUGACCUGCCGUGUGUGUGUGUGUGUGUGUGUGUGGGAGGGAGAGGGGGGGGCUAAAAGCAGCUAAGAGUUAAGAAGCUUUGUGAUCUGUUGUAGAAGUGCUUCAAGUGAGCGAUAGAGCGAGCAAAGGAUGGAGUGACGGAGCUACAGGGUAAAAGAGCGAGAAGGAAAAGAGGAGUAGAUGUAGAGCAAACCAGAGAGAAACAGAUUGUGACAGGAAGACAGGCAGAAAACUAAAAGUUUCUUUUUAAAAAUAUAACAGAAGAAAGCAAAGAGAAAGAGAGACGAAGGGGGGAGAGAAAGAGAGAACGAGAGAGGUGGUUGGUGGAUUAAAUCGGGUUAGAGAGGAUUAGUGACUGUUUUGGUUUGGUAGUAAAUCACAUACAUGUCAGUCACCACUGGCUGCUGCUGAUUCACUUCAGCGUUCACACACUGAAAACAAACUGGACCAGAGGAAGAGGACGACGAAGAGGCGUGAAGUAAGCCUUUUUUCCUCUGCGGGGAGUCUGGACAAUCACCAUGACACAAGUUAUAGAGGACGCUGUCAGUGAGGUGCUGUCCAGUGUGGUGGACGACGUCAAUCACGCCGUCAGCAGAAACAUCGGCGGCGCUGAGCUUCUGCGCGAGCUGCUGAGUGCUCCGUGGCUGCGCGCUCUGCUGCAGAUUUAUGAGUGCCUGCUGCAGUUCGAGAGGUCGACACCCACACCCAUUCUGCCCUACGCCUCAGGACUCUCACAUGAGAUCAUGAGUGCGAUACAGAAGGUCCACCGUCCCUCAGCUGAAGCCCGAGAGCUCUACGGCCUCCUCAGCUCUCCACACAUCCAGGCGCUCCUGUCAUCCCAGGACAGCGUGGCCCAGUCAGACUACGGCCCCGUGUUGCCUCCUCUGCCUGACGACAUGCCCGAGGACGAGGAGGCCAUGAGGGUCAUCUGUCUGGUGAAGAACAAUCAGCCGCUGAACGGAGGCGAGCGCAGAGGAAGUGUAGGAAACGGAGGACGAGUGGUUGGCAGUCGUUGGAGCAGCCUCCGUCGCCUCACUUUGGACCGCCUCGUCCCUGCCAGGAGGGCGUGGUCGCGGGAGGAGCUCCGAGCGACUGCCAGUGAAGCCUGGCCUUUGCCCCUCCCCCGGGGAGGACGCUCACAUCCCUUUCUGCCCCGAUACGAGUCAACAGGAAGCUGCUGUUUGUGUCUGCAAACGUCAGAGCUUUGGAAGAAAGGGCUCAACCAAUCAGCUCCCUCUGUCUGUAGUCCGCCCCCCCGCACCGGUUCAUUCUCAGAGAAACCCAAACAAAGUGGGGGAGAAGGCGCCUCUACUGGAGGGAGCAGCGACGACUACGCCUAUCCUCCGCCUCCAGUGCCAGCUUACAGUCUCAGCCUUCCCAACUCCCCUGUCUUAUACAAAAAGGGGGCAACAGGGGGACGCUCGAGGAACAUUCCUACGCCCGGCAGGAGCCCGUCCUCCUCUUGUACGGGGACAAACCCUCUUAGAGCGCACACGGCACCGUCUAGUCCUGCGCCCCGCCGCUCCACUCGGGAGCAGGGUGUUUGCACUCUGCCGUCCGCCGGCAGGCAGCACGGCUGUCAAACAAACAAACAGCACAAACAGAUUUCAAGUCAUCCCUCGCUGACCCGCUGCUCUACUGCUCCUCGUCAAAACGGAUGCCAGAAGCAAGCGCAACAUACACGAAACGAGCAGCGAGCGAACCGCGAACGUCCCGAGCUCGCCAAACAGUGGAGCAUCGACGAGCUCCGGUGCACCGUGCAGACGGCGGCCAGCAGCAUCGAGCACGGCGCUCAGGACGUGCGCCAUCUCGGCCGGAAGAUGGUGGCGGCGACGGAGAUUAUCGCGGAGGGCGGGGAAGAGAACGCCCAGGCACUCAACCUGCUCGCCGAGGUGGUGGACAAGCUGCAGGGGCUGAUCGUGGCCGGCAAGGUGACUCCUCCACGCCGGCCCAAACAGCCGCCGCCGCCACCGCCUCCAAGGGUCUCCUCCAUAUCUCCCAAAGUAGUCCGCAAACCGCCCACGCCAUACCCAUGCCACCUCGCGUCCUCCUCUUCCUCCUGCUCGUCCUCGUCUUCUUCCACGUCAAUGAGUUCCUGUGCAGGCGUCGUUGUGACAUCGAGGAGCCCGAAGCGAGUUAACGGAGGCUCCAAGAGGACGGUGGUGACGUUUGGCACCGCACACAGGGCAGGUGGCGGUGGAAGUAACGGACAGGCGAGACUGAACAACGGAGCGGCUUCUAGAGCUCCUCUGGAGGACCAACAGGAUGGUGACAGCACGGGCUGCUUGACAACCAAGAAGAAGAAAAAGAAUAAGUAGGCCGACAACCAACCGUCUCCUCUCCUCGUCUGCUGCGGCGCUGAAAAAGACUUAAACGGACUGAAUACCUUCUUUAAACGUAGAUCCACAUCCUAACUGCUAGUCUAACAAACUUUAACGAUGAACCAGAAGCAGAAGCAUCUUUUCAGUUCUUGGACAACAAAGAGGCUCUGGAUUUAUCACUCGAAGGGGAAAAAGCUAAAUAUUUAAAGGGGGCUACGAUACGGAGGGACGAGGAGACGGGAGAGAUCUAUAUCGCCAGGGUGAUUCAUGGAGGACUGGCCGACCGCAGCGGACUCCUCCAUCCCGGUGAUCUGCUGGUGGAGGUGAACGGGAACCCUGUGGCGGGUCUGGAACCAGAACAGCUCAUCCAGAUACUGAUUAAUUCCCAGGGAACCAUCCUGUUUAAAGUGAUUCCUGAUGCAAGUCAGAGCAGCGGCAGCCAGACAUCGGU